UACAGAGGUGGCAAGCGUUGUUCGGAAUUACUGGGCGUAAAGGGCGCGUAGGCGGCCUUCUAAGUCAGACGUGAAAUCCCCCGGCUUAACCUGGGAACUGCGUCUGAUACUGGGAGGCUUGAGUGCAGGAGAGGAACGCGGAAUUCCAGGUGUAGCGGUGAAAUGCGCAGAUAUCGGGAGGAACACCAAUGGCGAAGGCAGCUCGCUGGGACGUGACUGACGCUGAGACGCGAAAGCGUGGGGAGCAAACAGG
rnacentral:rRNA from 1 species